GUGAAUCAUCGAAUUUUUGAACGUAAAUUGCACUCUCUUCGGAGAGUAUGCCUGUUUGAGGGUCAGCCUAAAAAAAAUCGACAUAAUUGCUGUUACGCGGUAAUAUUCGGCGGAAAUUGGGUCAUUUUAAACCGUUGUGUUUAAGCGGCUUAAUAUUUUCUUUAUGAUUACAAUAACGUUUCUAAGAUUUUAUUCUCUUAUACGUUUAAGGUAUCGAUCUUUAUUAGUUGUGUCCGUUGCAUCGGAUCGCGUUCAUAA
rnacentral:misc_RNA from 1 species